UACGGAGGGGGCGAGCGUUAUUCGGAAUUACUGGGCGUAAAGCGCACGUAGGCGGCUUUGUAAGUUAGAGGUGAAAGCCCGGGGCUCAACUCCGGAAUUGCCUUUAAGACUGCAUCGCUAGAAUUGUGGAGAGGUAAGUGGAAUUCCGAGUGUAGAGGUGAAAUUCGUAGAUAUUCGGAAGAACACCAGUGGCGAAGGCGACUUACUGG
rnacentral:rRNA from 1 species